GCAGAGUAGCAUGGGGACGAUAUGAAUGAGAAUGAUCAUGGUUAUAUUGUUUUCGACAAUCAUAUAAAAAGUAAACAUAAUGUAA